UGGCACCCAAUGUCGGACUUGAGAACAGGGGAUUUCAUGAGGGAAGCUGUUCAUGGGCCCAAAGUAGAAAAAAGGUAAAGAAAAUAGAGGACCUGAAGACGUGGGAGCCUGCCACGCCAUGCUGAACCUCAGUAAAUGAACAGUGGUUAUGGGACAAGAAAUAAGUCAACAUGAGAUUUUUGUUCAAAGUUUAGAAAAGGCUUUAAAGGUGUGAGGAUUAAAGGUUAAAAUUAAAUAAUUGUGUCAAUAUUUUGAUUUUAUAAAAGCAGUUUGUCCUU
rfam:Cavia porcellus supercont2_21 genomic scaffold, whole genome shotgun sequence.